GUAGGUGAACCUGCGGAAGGAUCAUUAACACGUAUCCAACGUUAAACCCCUGUGAACCUUAAGACGCCGCUCCUAGGGCUCAGUCGCGAAAACUAGCAAUCCCCUGUACUCGUCCGAGAAAUUAAGGAGGAGGGGACUUCUGGCAGUGCACCCUAGUCAGAGCGCUUGGAGUUAGUGGCUUGUUUUUCCCCAAGCAGCCAGUGAGUGAAAGUGUCAUUGGUUGUGUAAGGAUUUCGCCUAAACAGCGAUC
rnacentral:misc_RNA from 1 species